rnacentral:rRNA from 1 species
UUCGGUGGUCAUAGCGAAGGGGAAAUACCCGGCAACAUUCCGAACCCGGAAGUCAAGCUCUUCAGCGCCGAUGGUACUGCAGCGGGGACGCUGUGGGAGACUAGGACGCCGCCGGAC